rnacentral:rRNA from 1 species
UCCACGCCCUAAACGAUGCACACUAGUUGUUGCGAUGCUCGUCAUUGCGGUAAUACAGUUAACACAUUAAGUGUGCCGCCUGGGGAGUACGGUCGCAAGAUUAAAACUCAAAGGAAUAGACGGGGACCCGCACAAGCGGUGGAGCAUGUGGUUUAAUUCGAAAAUACGCGAAGAACCUUACCUAGCCUUGACAUUGAAGAAUAGACCAGAGAUGGACUAGUGCCCUUCGGGGAAUCUGAAAACAGGUGCUGCACGGCUGUCGUCAGCUCGUGUCGUGAGAUGUUGGGUUAAUCCCG